UACAGAGGUCCCGAGCGUUGUUCGGAUUCACUGGGCGUAAAGGGUGCGUAGGUGGUGAGGUAAGUCGGAUGUGAAAUCUCCGGGCUCAACCCGGAAAUGGCAUUGGAAACUACCUUGCUGGAGGAUUUGAGGGGGGAUUGGAAUACUUGGUGUAGCAGUGAAAUGCGUAGAUAUCAAGUGGAACACCAGUGGCGAAGGCGACUUCCUGGCCUGUUCUUGACGCUGAGGCGCGGAAGCUAGGGGAGCAAACGGG
rnacentral:rRNA from 1 species